UAUGUGAUCGUCUCUCGCAUAUCAAUAAGCGGAGGAAAAGAAACUAACAAGGAUUCCCCUAGUAACGGCGAGUGAAGCGGGAAGAGCUCAAAUUUGAAAUCUUAAAGGGUUCCCUUUACGAAUUGUAGUUUAAAGAAGUGUUUUCUGUUGAGGUUUUGGUAAAAGUUCUUUGGAAUAGGACAUCAUAGAGGGUGAGAAUCCCGUAUUUGACCUUUACUUUCAACUUUGUGAUACACUUUCAAAGAGUCGGAUUGUUUGGGAAUGCAGUCCAAAAUGGGUGGUAAAUUUCAUCUAAAGCUAAAUAUUGGCGAGAGACCGAUAGCGAACAAGUACCGUGAGGGAAAGAUGAAAAGAACUUUGAAAAGAGAGUUAAACAGUACGUGAAAUUGUCAAAAGGGAAGCGUUUGACACCAGUGUUGUUUUUCUGAAAAUCAAUUAAAGAACUGUUUAUGCUAAGUUGUUUAGACUUUAUCAGCUAACUGUUUAGUUUUGAGCUUUUCUUUAAUGCACUUUUCAGUUAACAAGUCAACAUCAAUUUCUUUUGCUGUAAAAAAGCUUGAGGAAGGUGGCUUGAGAUUCGUCUUAAGUGUUUAUAGCCUCUUGCCUAUGCAGUCGGAGAGAUUGAGGUCUGCAGUGUAAAUCCUUCGGGGCUAAAUGCAUUUGUGCUAAGUUAUAGCAUUUCAUAGACAACUUGUUGACUAUGAUUUGUCUUGUAGCUUACUCGCUUAUGUUAUUUUACCUACGCUUAGGAUGUUGAUCUACAGAGCGAGAGU
rnacentral:rRNA from 1 species